rnacentral:tRNA from 1 species
AUUUAUAUAGUUUAUUUAAAAUAUUAUAUUUUCAUUAUAAAGAAAAUUUUUUAAUUUAUAAAUU